UGUGGUUUCUGAAGAAGGCUUCUGUCUGUUCAUUUUCUCAGAAGUGAAAAACUUCGGGCUGCUUGUGGUGGACCUGGUGGUCUUCAGGCCUCCUGCAUUCUACUGAUUCCCUUUUGGAACUGUUACAUCAGGUCAGGAAAAUGCUGGAAAGAGAAAAGAAGGAAUUGGAACUUAAGACACUUUUCUAGCAGGAGAUAAUGGAGAAUGUGCAAAUGAUUUAAGCAAGAAAGUGGGAAGUAUACUUUACUGUUACCGAGUGAGGAAGGUUCAGACUUUCAAAUGAGCAUUUCAAAAGGCUACGACAAGCCAAUUGCAUUUUGAAGUUUGUAACUUAAUCCAUUUACAUCUUUGUUGAGCAUGUCAAGAAAUCUUUGUUCCUUGAA